CUCCAACUCCAAGGCACAGUCCGUGACUUAUCGAUUGCCCGAGUUCCCGACUUCCCGUCUCCUACUCUUCUCCUUAGGGUUAGGAUUUAGGGUUUGUGCUGCGCCGCCCGAGCUCCAUUUGGCUAUUCCCUCCCUCAGGUCAGGCCUUAGUCUCUCUCGAGCCUCUCCCCUCUCCUUCGGACCUUCGCCUCCACCCUCUCCUCCUCCGUGCCGACAACUUUGGCCUCCCCGUCGACGGCGAUCGUGGCGGCUUGAGGACCACACUCCACCAUCCGCGACCUCUCCUUAGUUAGGGACUUAGGGUUAGAGUUUGUGUGCCGCCCGAGCUCUAUUCCCUCCCUCAGUCUUUCUCGAGUCUCUCCCCUUUGCUCUCCUUCGGAUUCUUCGCCUCCCGAGCCCUCUCCUCCGGACCUCUGCCUCCGCCCUCUCCUCCCCUGUGCCGACAACUUCGGCCUCCCCAUCGACGGCGACCGUGGCGGCUCGGAUCCUCUGCUCUACCGAGGUAAAUUUUGAUGAUUGGCCUAAAUGUUAAUGUUUCAGGAUGGUUAUUCCCCUAGAUUUGUUCCACUCAAUCUAGCAAAUGAUUAUUCUUUACCUUUGGCUGCUUGCAAUUAGAUAUACUUUGAAAGGGUUCUCAUUUAAUUUCAACAUUUGUGGAGGUUGAUUUGUUUGGACAGCUGCUUUACAUGAGGGUGAUGUUGAUGCUGAACAUUUAUGAUUCUUUUUUUGCACAGGUUGCUAUUGUAAGUUUGUAACUUUGGGAUAGCAAGAAAAUUCAUCUGGAGAUUGCUAAGCAAAAGGAAAUUCAUCUUGAUGGAUGCAUGGAGUUGGUGCAGGCAAAUGGUACUUGAUAUUCUUGGUUGUAUGCAAUGCUGUUCAGCUCUUUGCUAUUGCUCUCUUGUGCCCGAUAUGAACUUAAAUUGUGAUCUGAAGUUGGUGCAGGCAGCUGGUACUUGAUCUGUUCGAUCACAUAACUUUUGUCCCCUUAUAUUGAGGCUCUUUUCUACGAUACGCUGCUGCUUUCUGGGUUAUAGAAAUAUCGUGUUUUAGCAGCCACAUUUUUGUCAGUGUUUAUAUUCUUGUGAUUGAAAACUGACUACCUGUUCUCUUCACCAUUUCUACAGUAAGUUACAGAGUGAUGUUUUGAGGGAAGCAAUCUCUCAGAUUGCAAAUGAUUCUCGAGAGAAGAAGCGCAAUUUUACUGAAACCAUUGAGCUACAAAUUGGUCUGAAAAACUAUGACCCCCAAAAAGAUAAGCAUUUCAGCAGAUCUUAUGUUUACCUAAUAUAAUUUUUAAUGGCAAACAUCAUACAAAUAACUUGUCCAAUGCAUUUGAAUUCAGGGCCUGGUUGUUCUUCUAUUGUCUAUGGAGAGGCAGAGGAACUUGGACCUUUCUUAAUACAAAAAGGCAUGCCAGAGCUCAAAUUCAACAAGCAUUCUUGGAACCGGAGGAAUUGCGACUCAUCACUCGCCUAUAGGCCCUAUACUGACAGAGAAAAUAGGGCUUGACUAUAUGGAUGUUGAAGCACUAAAAAAAUGAAUAAAAACAAGAAGCUGGUCAAAAAGCUUGCUAAGAAGUACCAUGCUUUCCUAGCAUCAGAGGCCAUCAUGUAUAUUGAUAUUUGUUCUAUGUGAAGCAGAUUUUCUUUUCGGGCUAUUCCAUAUGUAAAUUUGGAUGAUUUGACUUGUAUUCCUUAUCUUUGUAAAGAUUAAAUAUUUUUUGAAUAUUGUUGGUAUUAGAUGAAUGAAUAAAUACUUGUAUUCCUUAUGUUCAGCUUUUUGUAAAGAUUGAAUGCUUUUUUAAUGUCAAUGAUGUUGGGACAA